rnacentral:rRNA from 1 species
GACGAACGCUGGCGGCGUGCCUAAUACAUGCAAGUCGAACGCUUUUUCUUUCACCGGAGCUUGCUCCACCGAAAGAAAAAGAGUGGCGAACGGGUGAGUGACACGUGGGUAACCUGCCCAUCAGAAGGGGAUAACACUUGGAAACAGGUGCUAAUACCGUAUAACACUAUUUUCCGCAUGGAAGAAAGUUGAAAGGCGCUUUUGCGGCACUGAUGGAUGGAACCGGGGUGCAUUAGCUAGUUGGUGAGGUAACGGCUCACCAGGGCAACGAUGCAUAGCCGAACUGAGAGGGUGAUCGGCCACACUGGGACUGAGACACGGCCCAGACUCCUACGGGAGGCAGCAGUAGGGAAUCUUCGGCAAUGGACGAAAGUCUGACCGAGCAACGCCGCGUGAGUGAAGAAGGUUUUCGGAUCGUAAAACUCUGUUGUUAGAGAAGAACAAGGAUGAGAGUAAAAUGUUCAUCCCUUGACGGUAUCUAACCAGAAAGCCACGGCUAACUACGUGCCAGCCGCCGCGGUAA